GUUCAAUACACAUAUCUUCGGCGUAUCGCCAACUUUUUGACAAGAGCAAGCUCUCGGCGCGAGGUUUGUCAACUUCGCAAUGUAGUUCGUGUCUGUUAACUCGUCGAUCGACUAGAACAGGACGGUCUCGGUUUAGUUCGAUCUCCUGUCUAGUUGUUCAACGGUUUAUCUAAGGUUUGUUGUUACUUUUGAUCUGUUCUUGAUUUGAAGUAGUGAUAGGUUCUCGAUCAAGUCCUCGC
rnacentral:lncRNA from 1 species